UGAAAUAAGUUUAUGUUCCAUUGAUAAAAGGAGGAUGGAAUGGAGCGGAACAUGAUGAAAUGCAUUCUAUCCUAUUCCAUGGAUUGCCUUCAUUUUCACAUCCUUCAAUUUGGGAAGAAUAACAAUUUUGUUCUAUUCAAUCAUAAAAUAUUCAAACAACAGAAUGAAAUCUUUGUUCCACUCUGUUCCAUUCCGCUCAACUAUGUUAGUUUUAAAAUAUCCAAACUUAGCCCUCCUAUUGAGGAAUUCAGAAUGUGAUGGUAAAAGUAUGUUAGACCUCUUUCACUAGUUAUUUGAAAGGGAGAGCCCAGACACUCGAAUUUUUGGAAGAAACUGAAUUGUUUAUUGUGUUUCUGAUCGUGCGUAGUUUAAUUCAGUUUCUUUUACUUGUAAUUAUGAAUGUAACUCUGUUUUGAGAACUCUUCUCCAGAGUAGUGUUGAAUAUAAAUUCAGAAAACCAACCCACAAAUCCCUUGUUUUGGCCAGUUUUAUCAGUUUCCUUCAAAUAAGAUGUUGGUAAGCAAUUUGAGAGGCUACUCAAGUUUAAUCGAAUAAUAAUAAGAGGUGCAGGGGGAACUAAGAGGGAGUAAAUCAAUUUCUAUUAUGUUUUUACUUUCAAAGAAUUGAAACCGCUUUGAUUCAUUCAUAUUGAUGCUGCUACAUUGGAAUAAGGUGUUUUUUAUUACAUUCUUAUUGAACUAUGUGUUAAAUGUUUCAUAUUUAAUACAUUAUUUUCCCUAUAUAAAAAAAUUAGUAAAGAUUCAUUAUGUCUUCUUGAUAAGAGAUUUAAAGGGAAUUUUUUAUUUCAUUCUAUGAGAUGGAAAAGCACCGUAUGAAAAUUUUAAAAUAUCCUUUAGGUGUUGAAGAUACAUCUCUGGACACUGUUAGUUGAGAUUUUCGAUGUCAAAAUUGGAUUAAAUCUUGUAGUAAAAAAGAGUGUUGUUUGUUUCAACUUCGACAAGAAGGAGUUGCUGUCGAAGUAAGAGAUCCUGUCGAAGAGGUUUUUUUGAUGUACGGGAAAUGCUGAUUUUAAGAUUUAGAAGUACUUAUGGGUUUAGACUGCAAUUUUGACAGAAGCAAUACUAACGUUGCUUUCGCCGAAAGAUUUUGAAUUUUGAAUAAGAAUUAUAAGUGUUUUCUGUCCUUAUCCAUUUGUCUGAGAAAGACGCGUGUACAGUUACGAUGAAGUGAAGACAUGCAUGCAAAACGUGUCGUUUUUUUGGAGGAAAGACCGUUGAUAGCGGUUAUCUUCGACUUAGUAUAAAUAGGGGUCUUAGUGUAUAGGAUUUCCGAGUGUUCAAACAUUGUAGAAUUACUCAUAAAUUCCUUUAAGUAUAUAAGUGUAUAUGAGAAGCGAGAUUAUUGGGAAUGUACGUGUGAAUCACCGUCUUUGCAUUUUAAUUGAAAUUGUUCGCAAUUUAUCCAUUAUUUCCACUUCCUGCAAUUUACUUUAAAGUUCUUUUGUUGCAAUUCUUUUACACCUUAUGCGUUCUACUUUUUAAACUUUAAAACAACAUUCUCAAUUUAUAAGCAUUGUCGAAGUGUUCAUAAACUUUGAAAAGAAAUACUCCCUCCGUUCCUUUUUAAGUGUCACAUUUUGACUUUUUACACAUACCAAGAAAGCUAAUUAUUAUUGUUACUUUUUAAACAAUAAUUCUCAUUUUACCUAUAAUACCCUUAAUUAUAUUCUACAUUCAUUUUACUUUUUCUCUCUCUGUAAUAAUUACAUAGGGGUAAUUUUGACAAAAGUGCAUUUAAUACUACCUUGAAUUCUACAAGUGACAAUUAAAAAGAAACACAAAUUUAUCAAGAAAGUGACACUUAAAAAGGAACGGAGGGAGUAUUUAAGAAAAAUACAUGUCCUAGGAUUCACUGGUUGAUCCUGUCAAGUAAACAAUUUUUUUGGAGAUCAGAGAUUGUUCACCAAUUUUCACGGUAAACAAAUUGGCACGUCCAGUGAGACCGUGUUAUUGUUAAAAACAUUUUUUCUUUUACAAUUUUUUUUUAUUUGUUCUUCAUUUUAUUAUCUCUCUUACUUCGAGACUUAUAAAUGGCAAAAUAGUCACAAACAACAAGGAAAGACUAGAAAGAGGAUACGUAAGGAGGACGGUGAAUAAAAACCCAUCAAAUAGUCAAAAUACGUCAAAGAAUGGAGAACCACCCCCGUCAUCAUCGACAAGGGGAACUACGGUCACAAGAUCUGUAACUGAACCUGUACCGUCCACGGCAAAUACGACACCUGGGUAGUCGAUUGUCCAAAGUGGAUCUAUUUUGUCUUAUGUAGGAACACAUGGUCCACCAGUGACUCCCUUUCUAGUGGAAAAUAACGUAUUAAGGCCUUAUAUGCCUGGAUUCUCGACGUCGUUAAAUGGUCGCGAAUAACCUUAUGGCAUGGCAACUUCGAUGAUGGCAAGUUUGCACAAUACAUCAUUAACGUUUACAUAACUAGUGGUGAACGCGACUUCGCCACUACAAGGAUCUGGUUGAGUCGUUAAUAACAUGGUUUGAAUGAGUCAAUCAUUAAGGAUGGGAUUUCCCGUCCAAACGUAAAUAUCACCAACCAUUAUGCGGCAGUAAUAAGGCAACAAAUGGACAAAAGUAACCAUGAGAUGGUCCAAAUGUCGGCGAACUAAAUGAAUACAAUAUUUAACCCUUUGAUCCAAAACACUACCCAAACAAACUAAUAGAUGGCAACACAGAUGUCACGUAUUGUCGACUUCUUUGGUGUUCCACAACCUUCUCGACAUCCCCAGAGGGAGUGGAUGAUAGAAAAUUAGGGGAUAACCUUCGAGGAAGAUCCCACCAUUAACCAAGUCCAACAAAACCAAAGAAACGUACCCCAGGAGAACGUGGUAAAUCAGGGAGUAGGAGUCGAACCCCCUAGAGUCGAACCCCCAGGGCAUAAGCCACCAAUCCCAAGGGAAAAGACGAUGGUGAAUAUGAACCAAGAUGUUAACGAAGUCAUACAUCAGAUUCGACGUGAUGAUAUGGAGGUAGACAAUAAUCUAGUAGCCAUGGUCGAAAGAAUCAUGGCGCAGAAUGAGUUGAAGGUUGGCUCUCAUAGGCCACAUUACACAUCACCUUUGUCUAAAUUAUACUAUGCAGUCAAAGUUACCCCCUAGGUGGAAAGUCCCAAAGUUUACUAAGUUUUCUAGGGUCACUAACGAGUCCACUAUCGAAUACGUGGCUAGGUUCCUAAUAGAAGCGAGGGAAAUUGCUAAUAACGAGAACCUAAGGAUGAAAUAUUUCCCAAGUUCCUUGACGAAGAAUGCCUUUAUGUGGCUCACCAUGUUGCCAGCAAAUUCAAUCCAUGAUUGGACUCGACUGGAAAGGUUGUUCCAUGAACAAUUCUACAUGGAACAAUUGAAGAUUAGUUUGAAGGAAUUGGCCAGUGUUAAACGAAGAUUCUCUAAGCCAGUAGAUGAUUAUUUGAAUAGAUUCUGUUUGCUUAAGGCCAGAUGUUUUACACAAGUGCCUGAGCAUGAAUUGGUCGAAAAGGUCGCUGGUGGCCUUGAUUAUUCUAUUAGGAAGAAACUAGAUACCCAAUGUCUAAGGGACAUGGCUCAGUUGGCUGACAGGGUUAGACAAGUAGAGCGCCUAAAGGCUGGAAAAAACUAGGGCAAAUAAGAAUGACAGGAAGGAAAGGGUAGCAUAUGUCAAAUUGGAUGAAGAUGAUCCAGAAACGUAUAAUGAUCCCCUAAAUUUUGACGAAAGCAAAGUGGACCUCGCUGAAUUGAAGCAAAGACCACCUUACUCUUGCAGAGUCCUAGCGCAUUCGAAUGGGAAAAACCCAGUCCAACUAAAAAAGAGCAAUGCUUUCCCUAAGAAGACAUAGUGUCUCCAAGUGUGACGAGAUUUUUGAUUUAUUAGUUAAAGAUGGUCAAAUGAUAGUGUCUCCUGGUGCUAAAAUUGUUGGAGAAUUGCCAUCCAAGGCGCAACGGAAUUUAAAAAUUUCUCCAUUUAGUGAUCCUUACGAAUGGGCAUGAUCAGUGAUAGAAUCGUUACCUCUUGUGGCGAUUCAAACCUUUGGUGCAGAUCUCUGAUAUGAUCAAACGUUUGAUACAGAUCCACAGGCGCGAUCACCGACGUUUGAACGCAUGACAACGUCUCUACUCCAGUCCACCGCAACGGAUUUACUUCAAUCGCAGUGUAGCUGUUGUGAAUUGAAGGCUUUGAGUGAGAGAAAGAGAGAUACGGAAAUUCCAAACUCUUUCAGUUGUGUUGUAUUCCACAUACAAAGCUUCUGCACAAGAGCUCUAUUUAUAGAACCACUUGUGUGGGCUUCAAAGCAAAAAGCCCACUUAAGUGCAUAUUUGGCCAUAUAUAUCAAAUAUGCCAACUCACUUAAGUAUUUGGUACCUUACCAAUAUUUCGUAUCUGCUUAAGUACCACCGUACCUUCGAUGUUCCUUAAAAUUAUUCUAUCUCUCUCAAUACCUCUCUUUGUGUGUGACCUAUAGUUUUCGCGGCAGUUGGCAAUUAUAUUAAAUCACGCAUUUAACAUAAUAACAGGAGCCGGUAUCUGCACACAUCACUGUACCCAAGGCACGGAACAUGUCAUGUGUCUGACCAACCUCCUGUGAUAAUACUUAUGUGUAUAAUACCCCUUUGCCCUUAUGUCUAUAUUGAACACAAGGUAUAGGCCUGGUCACCCUUGUCCAGUUCAUAUUGGGCCCAUGACAUUUAUCCUGUAAGCAGGGAUGGCAGAUUUCCAUCUAGGACCACUCAUGUCCCGCAGCAUGCUUCGUGGAGGACCAUUAACUGUCUUUAUGGUCAUCGCAGUUACGGAUAACGUUGGAUCAGUAUUACAAGCACUCAACUCUACAUCUAGGAUCCAUAGUGGUUUCAGGGCGAAGAGUGGUAUACACUAUUAUCACCAUGAGAAUAACUUAUGACACUUUGCAUAACUUUCUAUAUAGUAUUCUCAUAGCGGGGUCAAUCCGGUAUAUAAUUACUCCUAUUUUCAUACCUAUGUUUAAGACUUGAUAACUCUUUAUCUGAUCCAUGAGAUGUGAUCAGUCAGUCUACAAACAUAAUAGCUCUUAAUGCUUUAAUGUUUUCCCACUUCACAUUAAAGCUCGACUACGGAUACUUUAAGAAUAGUGUCUUAUUUAAUGUGUUCUCAUGAUUAAGUCACACUUAAUACAUUAAACGGGACUAUCUAUUCUAGGGACUUUAUUAUCAACCAUAAUAAAAGAAAUGCCUUUUAUUAUUAAUAAAUAAUUCGAUACAAGUACCAAAAGUGAUGGGCUCUAGGGCUUUACACCAACAAAAAUACCUCCUCUGAACAAAGAAAAAGAGGGGUUUUUGUAGUAUCAUAUUUUUUUUGGCAUAAAACUUCGCAAUGUUUCUCUUCAGGGAACUUGUGUAGAAGCCUAUCAGAGACGAAAGGCUCACGUUAGAGAUAGGUCGAAGUCUGAAAUGAGGAUCGACUCAGAUCCUCUCCAGGUGACAGAGGCCCACUUUGCUAAAACCAACUUUUGUGAAUAUGGUGGAAGUGUCUGCAACUGCGCCAAGAAAGUUGAUUGGUCGAAGCUCUGAAGGCUUCAACCAAGGAAUUACUGAAGGCUUCACAGGAACCACUGGGGUUCCAUCCAAGGAGUCACUGAAGGGCUUCAUAAGGUAACCACUGAGGGUUUCCAUUCAAGGAGUCAUAAGGCUUCAACAAGGGAGUCACUAAGGUUCCAUUCAAGGGUUCAUGAAGGCUUCAACAAGGGAGUCACUGAGGAUUCCAUGCAUAUGAUAACAACAAAUGAAACUACUAAGGUUUAUAUUAGGUUAAUACAUAACUAAGGACUGAAGGGCCUUAGAAUCAAGUUGCAGAUUUUAAACAUCACUAAGGAUGCCAACCUAGCAGUUAACAUGGUCGAAGUGACCUAAGAGACUGCUAUGGAAGUCGACGAAACAGCCUAAGCAAGAUGAGUAUGUCACAAGUGGCUAUCCCAAGCAGGACGGAAGCUUGGUCGAAUUCCUCCACAGUGGUUCAGAGGAAGAAAUCAGAGAUAAUGAUGUGCCAAGGUGCAGAUCCGUCUUCGAUAGAAAUGCGACAAGAACUUCAAGGGAGUUUGACUGAAAAGAACAGGGAACUUGAGAGACACCAACAACUGAUUUGCCUUCGACAGGAGGGGGUACCCAGGAAGCAAGAGGAAGGAAGACCAGACCCCGUGGCUACACACCAACACCUUCAAGCCUACGACUGAUGCCCCUAAGGGUAAGUGGGUGAAGCUUGUCGAAAGAGGCGAACAAGCCAUAGAAGUGGACAAACUUUGAAGUACAGAGAGGUUUCCUCGCUGGCAUACCACAAGGAAUCCCAAACCUCAAAACAACUGCGUAUCGCUCCGAAACUACAAGGAAGAACCUUAUGUCAAGGGUCCCAGUGGAGGAGAGGGCAGAGGAGCGAAAGGCUGAAAGAGAGGCUGGAGAAAUGGCGAAGGCAGAAUCCGGUAGUAACGUACCCUAAAUAGGAGGGAACAAAGAAAUAAGCAUGCGAAGGAGCUCUUUUCUCUCAAAGGAGAAAUCUGCAAAGAGUCUGACUAAGCAGCAUCAGAAGACGAUAUGCUGACGAAUGAUUUUGACACAGAUUCAGCGAGCCAUCCUUGGAUAUCACGUGCAACAUGGUGUCUGUGUUGCCCAGGGAAUAGGACCAAGUUAUGGAAGUAGAGGAAACCUGAGGAUAUAACGAUGCGGAAAUGGCCAGCAUAUGCAGUUUGUUACUACGUUGAUGAUGAUGGUGCGUAGAGAGCAAAAUGCCUUUUUGAAAGGCUCGAUUGAGGGAUGAAGAGCCAUUUGAAACCUCUGUUAUAGGAGGCAAAGUGGAAAUGUCAGAGUGAGUACAAACCUAAUGGAUGGUGGGCGUUGCUGAAUUAAUGCCAAAUAAUGUUGAAAAGAAUAGGGAGGUGAUACCGACACUAAACCCCAUAACAUGCGUUCUUUCGAUCUUAUGUGGGGAAUGUGGGUACAAAAAUGGGGAUAAUUCAAGUAGACCUAAUAAGUCGACACCAUCACAGUCCGGCUAUGUUUUAUGGUUCAAACGUCAAAAGCCAACUAUAACCUGCUUUUGGGUCGAUAAUGGAUCCAUGGUAUUGAAGGAGAAGGGCGAUCCAAAAAUGCAGCGGAAUUUAAAAUUUCUCCUUUAAUGUCCUUACGAAUGGGCAUGAUCAGUGAUCGAAUCGUUACCUCUUGUGGCGAUUUGUAACCUUUUGAUGCAGAUCUACGGAGCGAUCACGACGUUGAACGUGACAACGCCUCUACUCAGUCCCACAAACGAAUUUCCUUCAAUCUCAGUUGCUAGCUGCUACGAAUGAAGGCUUUGAGUGAGUGAGAGAGAGAAUGAAAUUGCAACUGCUAAUGCUUCUACACAAGGGUCUAUUUAUAGAACCACUUGUGGGGGCUGCAAGCUAAGAAACUUAAGUGUAUAUGACCCAUAUCUUAUAAUGCCAAAAUCACUUAAGCACGUGGUACCUUUACCAUAUUUCGUAUUCUACUUAAGUACCACCGUACCUUACGGUGUUCUACAUUCACUUAAGGACACGAUACCUUACGGUAUUCCUUAGUUACUCUAUCUCUCAUCAAUCGUCCUUUUGUGUGUGAGCUCACGUGUAGGAUUUUACGUAUAGAGAUAGGUAAUAUACGGAUGUAUGCUUAUUGGGGCUAACACCGCUUAAAGUACCUGACAGGUGAAAGAUAUUUACUACAUUAAACAGAUUGAGGCGGUCAAGUCUAAGCAACACAACCACGCUACCCAAGCACGAAAUGUCAUGUGAUCUGACAGAUCCUUCAUCGUGAUAAUAAGUAUUGUGUAUAUACCCUUUGCCGCUUAUGUCUAUAUGAACACAAGAGCAUAGACCGUGUCAUCCUUGUCCAGUUCAAUAUGAGCCCAUGACAUUUAUUCUGUUACGCGGAUGGGCAAAUUCCCAUCUUAGGUCACUUCAUGUCCCUUAGCUGGCUUCGCUUGAAACCCAUAAGCUGUCUUUUGGUAUCCAGUACGGACAACGUUUUGAACCAACAAUAAGACACUCGACGUCACAUCUCAGGGUCCAUGUGGUUUCAGGUCGAGGGUGGUAUACCACCAUUUAUCACCAUGAGAUAACUUAUGACACUUGGCAUAAAUUCUAUAUGUAUUCUCCAUGCAGGUCAAUCUAGUAUUAAAUAUUACUCUUAAUAUUCAUACCCAUGUUUAAGACUUGAUAACUCCUUAUCCAUGAUCCAAGAUGUGAUCAUCAGUCUAUAAACAUAAUAGUUUCAUUGCUUUAAUGUUUCCCACUUCACAAUAAACUCGGACUUACGGAUUACUUGUAAAAAUAAUGUUCCUGUAUGGUUUAUGUGAUCUCAUGAUUAAGUCAUACUUGAUACAUUUAAACGGACUAGCUAUUUCUAGGACUUUAUUAAACAAACUAUAAAGAAAAGCUUUUAUUAUUAAUAAAUAAUUCAAUACAAGUACCAAAAGUAUUGGCCUCUAGGGCUUUACACCCAGGUAUCGGCGCGUGCCUUCUUACUCAUAUCAACCGGUUUUCCAUCCGAUGACGAGCUUCACAGCGGCGCCAAUGGGAACAAGUGGAAAUAUUAGAGGCGGGCCCAGCAGUUACUACAAUGGAGAAAGUCACCAGAGUGGAUGAGGAAGGCACCUUCAAACCAAAACACCUUGAACACACAUUCCCCCUUGCAAUUUCUGCCAGGGGUAACUUUACGCAAGCUGACAAUCGUUAUGUUCCUUGUACCUACUGAAGGAGAAAAGCGAUCCCAAAUGCACGCAAUUUUUUUUUCUCCUUUGUGAUUCCUUACGAAUGAGCAUUGACAGUGAUAGAAUCGUUCCUCUUGUGUCGAUUGAACCUUUGAUGCAGUGUCUCAGAAGUUGAUCACGAAUGUUGAAUGUGAACAACGCCCUCUUACUCAGUCCCACGAGACGGAUUCCUUAAUCUCAGUGCUGCUCUACGGAAUUGGAAGGCUUUGAUAGUGAGAGAGAGAAACAAAAUUCAUCUAUCUCAAUGCUUCUGCACAAGGGGUUCUAUUUUAUAGAACACUUGUGUGGGUUGUAGCUAAAAAAUCCCACUUAAGUGUAUUGGUGCCCCAUAUCUUAUGAUAUACAAAUCACUUCAAGCGCGUUGGUACCUACCAUAUUUCGUAUUUCUACAUUAAGAGCACCGUCCUUACGGAUGUUCUAUAAUUCACUUAAGUUGAUCGUAACCUUACGGUUGUUCCUUAAUUUACUCUAUCUUUCUCCAUCAAUUCAUCCUUUUGCGUGUGUUGAUCCUGUAGGUUUUCACGACAUUGGUAAUUAUAUUAAAUCACGGUUAUUUAACAUAAUAAAACAAUUGACGGUAUCUUAGCAAUACAUCACUACUAACCCAAGACCGAAAUGUCAUUUGAUAUGACAAAUCCUUUUUGUGAUAAUACUAUGUGUACAAUUAUCCCUUUUGCCAUUAUGUGUAUAUUGAACAACAAGGCUAUUACUUGUUGUCAUCCUUGUUCAGAAUCAAUAUUUGGCCGUUAAGACAUUUAUCAUGUUACGCAUGGAUGGGCACCAUUCCAUCUAGGCACUCAUGUCAACCUCAAACCAUGCUUCGUUGAGUACCCAAUCAACGUCUUUAUGGUCAUGCCAGCUACGGAUAAUGUUUCAUCAAUUAAUAAGACCACUCGACUCUUACAUCUAGGGGUCCAUAGUGGUUUCAGGUCGAGGGUUGGCAUACACCAUUUAUCACAUGAGAGAAUAACUGAGGACACUUUGCAAUAACAUUCUUAUAUUUUGAGUAUGUCUUGCAUAGCGGGUCAAUUUCCAGUUAUAUUAAAUAUUACAUCUUUAAAUAUUCAACAUAUAUGAUUUCAAGACUUUGAGAUAAGCUCCUGUUAUCACAUUGAGGUCAUGAGUAGUGUGUGAUCAUCAAUCUUAUACAUAAUAUGUUUUAUAAAUAAUAUGUUUAUGUAAUUCGAUCAUUUAAAUGCAGCAUGGUCCAACUGUCGGGGAUGUUUGUUGGUACUAACUGGGGGUUGUAGUCUUGUCUUGGGCCCAAUUAUGAGUUUCAAAAAAUCGAAAUCUCCAAGCUAAGGAGAGAUGGUGCGGUUGACGUAUUAGAGAAUUUAGUUGUGUGUGAGUUUGGAAUUGGUUCAAACCUGCGGUGGUGUAAUGAUAGAGACUGUGGUGAAGAAGUGAGUGAUCAGAUGAAUAUAGGCGUCUCGGCGCUGUGGUUGUUAGAAUUCUUAUGUGUUUGAGAAGGUGUGUUGACGAGAGUUAUUUGCAUGUGGAAGUAUGGUCAACGUGGGUGUUUGUGUCGAUACUAAGAGAUUGAUACCAGGUAUUUGGCGACACAUACAUGGUUAUGAGGGCGGACCAUUUCUGGGUUGUUGUCUUGCCAAGACAGUUAGUCUGGCCGCUCCUGGGGUUAAAGCAUGGAAUAGUCUGAGAGAACUUCGACCUGAUAUGUCUAUCGAAAUCAGGGGAGAGGUUCAUAAGGAGCUUAGUAUGUCUAAGCUUGUGCGUGAGCGAUAUUUCAAAGAAUACGCCCUUAGUGGUGUGGGCGUGUUGGCCAGAUUCGGUACUCAUGUGGCGCUAAAGAAAAGAUGACAAGAUGCGGCGAUAUGCGGUGGAUUACAGAGACGUUAGAAUCCAUAGCUUGAUUGCCCAGAGGAGAGAUUAUGUGUUCCGAUGUACCGUCACAUCGAUUGGUUGUUAGUGGUAGCAGAGUGACGGCCUAAUUCAUCGGUAUUCUCAUAAUGGAUGGGUUUUGCGGAUUGAGUGGAACCAGCGGAUUCAAAAUGGAUUAGAAGACAUGGAGAAGACACAUUUUAUCACCCCACGGGGGACUUCUCUAUAAGUUCAUGGUCCUCUUGCGGUUUGAAGGACGUGUGGGCGGGAAACAUAUGGCAGAAAAGCGUGUUGGUCACUCUCUGUUUGCAUGGAUGGAUGAGUGCAUUGAAAGAGGAUUGAAUAGGUGUUACGUUGCGAAUAGGUUGUGCUAAGUCCCAAACUGAAGAGAAUCACUCCGUCAUUGGUCAUUUACUUAAACAGUUUAUGUGAGUAGAGUGGAGGGAAAUGUCAUUAUUGAGUGAUAGCUAAUCCCAACUAAGUGGAACUUGUAAGAUCUGGAAGUUUGUUGGUGGUGGUUAGUUGUGAGCCAACGUGGACAUCGAGGUUGAUCUCCGACCAAAGUCAAAAGCCAUACAAGUGAUGCCCUGCACCGAGAAUGAAAAUGAGGUUGCAUUGGUUUUUGAUGGGUAGGAGCUGAGAGGGUUGAACUACAUAACCAGUUUCAUAUCUCACCUAAGCCGGUGUCCUUAUCUAUGCGAAGAGCCUAUCUUUAAACUCGUGGCGAAAAUGAUCAAGGCUUAUUUUGUAGUGGAAACGUGAAGAGUACUGUCAAAGAGUUCUUUGAGAGGUAUUUGAAAACGGUUCUAUUAAGAAGCCGAUCUCAUUUUAAUGCCGUUUCGGAGUGCGGUAAACCCUGCGUAUCAUAGUACUCUUGACAGUCCUGGAAGAUUCUAGGAUUGUUACUUGGGUCAACAUGUAAGAAUUCAGGUAGGAAGGAGCACUAUCCAUCGUGACUACCUGUGGCAAGAUAGUACUAACUGACGAGGAUCGAAGAUACUCGGAUUUGUUUACUAGAGAAAAAUAAGUUAUUGUCCUGGUCUGAGGCGAGCUAUCUGCGAAACUGUACAGAUGCAGUUACAUGUAAAUCUGCACGACUACGUGUGUAUCUUUGUCUUUUCGAUCAAGUACAUUUUGCAUAGAAACUGGCUGCUGACCGGGACAGUGGGUUUCCGGUUGCGCAAAUGGGUGUUGACCGAAUACGACAUUCAAUACAGUCACACAAUAGAAAGCCAUCUAUAUAUAACGUGUUUGGAUGGACUAUUUGGCACGAGUCAAACUAGUGUAAGAUACCAACCCAUGAAAUUAAUUUUCCUUGAAUGAAACAUCUUAUCAAUUAGGAGUCUUGAUCUCCUUACUAAUUGGGCGCAAGAGUUUGGAUCCUUGUAUGGUGGUGAGGUCGUGCAGGUGGACUGUAUUCAAGUUUCAAUUUCAAAUAAUUCUAAGAUUGAAUUUAAUGAAAAUAGAGAGUAACGAUAAAAAUGUAGACAUGUAUACUUAAGUUGUGUUAAGCGUUUGAUAUUUAAAUCAUGUAAGAUAAAAUUUAGGAUGGAUUUAGUCCUUACCUAUCUCAGAACAAUGUUAUCUUUAUUUCCCACGUUGAAAAUAUGAAUGAUCUUUCUAUAGACCAAUAAUUUUAAAUGAAUAGUUCGUUCUAUUAAACAAAAAGUAAACGUUGCCGUUAUUUCUCCGACCUCUCUAUGUCUAACUCUCUUCCUACCUGACUGGGAUAGGUUGAAGAAUACGAUCAAUUAUAGGUGUAGUUGUUAUUAUCUACAAGGUACAUUGACCAAUUUAUUUAUUACAAUUGGUUAAUUGUAAUUGGGAUAAAUUAAUGAAGGUAAGUUUAUUAUACUUUUGCAACUUAGAGAUCUAAUAGAAAUUUUUAAAUACUGUUCGAGUUGAGGAUAUUAGCCAGCACUCCAAGCAAGUUUACAUCAAUUUUUUAAGUUUGUUGAAAAUUUCUGAUGGCAGUUCAGCAUUUGUCAGAGGGAAAGUACGCUGCACACAAUUCCAAGUAUAUAUCAAUUUCUGUUGAAUGGAGUGAACGAUGUUCCGUAAUGUGGUUGUUACGAGUAACCCUUCUUCGUUGACUUCCUUCUUACAAUGGUUCUUUUAGGUGAGACUUUAAUUGGUUUCUUCCUUCUAAGCAUACGGUACUCUAAUGAAUUCGUUUCAGCCGAAAUUGGAUGUGGACAAUGAAAAGCCAAGGCAUGGAUUCAACUCAAUAUUCAGGUAACACGUCUUAUCCUCUCUNNNNNNNNNNNNNNNNNNNNNNNNNACUGCCCUAAGAUCAGAAGUUUUCCAAAGUCCAACAACUAUUUAUAUAUGGUUUUUCAGAACUGAUGAGGGUGUACGUUGCUUACCUUCCAAAUUAUCAUGCUUGAUUAUUAAUUCAGUAUCUUUUUCUCUUUUGAACAGACAUGUGCAGCAAGAAGACCUAUAAUGCCACAAUUAUUAAAUAUCUGUUGCAUUUCCUUUAAUGGGAGAAGCUAUUCUAGCUAGUUCUCAUGCUUUGGCAUUAUUAUUGAAAGCCUUUAACUACUUUUAACUGCUUUGCUGGCUUAAUUAUAUGCCAUUUCUUUUCACUCUUUAACUAUGGUUUUGUUAUUUUUCUUCUGGUUACCGAAUCCCAACACUUCCGGGUGGCUUUGACAUUGUUGUUCCCUGUUGAUUGGAAAACCUGUUUUUACGUCACAUUAGUUUAUUUCCAAUGGGUCAAUCACCGAUUGAUGGCGGGUUCAAUAGUAGGAUAGCAGGAUUUUCUUUGAGCUUGACAAGAAGUUUGGGCUUUGCCUUCUUUGUGGCAUUUGAGGUAAACAAACAUUCUGCGGAUUUGUUCUCCACAGGAUUCAUUUUCCUCAGACUUCCACCAUCCUUCUAUAUUCUUCUUUGAAAGUGAAACACACAGAUGGAACGCUGCGAUAUUGCCGCUCAGUUUGGAAACUUGUACAAAAACUUGAUGGCCUCCAAACAUCUUGGCUAAUCUUAUAUCUCUCAAGUUGCACUGCCUUUCUUAAAAAACUGGAUGCGCAUAUCACUUUUCAAGCCUGCCAGGUUGUUAAUAAAGAAAUGGGGAUUCGCUUGGUAAUCAAGGAUCUAAUGAAAUCUGUGCCUGCUUCGAGGAACACUUACCGCACACUGAUGGGCCCAACUUUUCUUUGUAUUAAAAAAACCAGCAUUGAUCUGAACUAAAAUCCAACUUCCUUACAAUUGGUUUGGUUCUGAGAGGAAGAGCUUGAGAACAUUCUGAGCCAAGUCAAAAGGAAAUUGAUCUUUCUAGCUGGGCCUUUAGGCAUGCAACCCACGUCAAUCACACACACGUUUGUGAGCCUUGACGGUUUUAUCAUUGCUAAUUAUAACUUAUUUUUAUAACCUAAUGCAUAGAAUUAUUAGCUAUAGCACAUCCAUUCUUUCGCAUUACCAAGUUUAUCCAACAAUUUCUCUUUAAUAUAACUGUGUUUGAGACAUGUUUAUAGUUUGAUUAUUUUCCAGUGGAAGAUGCCUGAGUUUAGAACCCGAUCAGCGUGAUGAAGACAAAAUUGGUAGGUAUGUUCAUUCUAUGUUUGUAGAGAUGGCAUGUUCUUUAUCAGUUGCAAUGGAAUUUCUUCGAAUUCGUAAGUGUCUGGUUUUUUGGGUGAUGUUUGAUUGAUGGGAAUAGGACGAAUAUGAAAUAAGUUUAUGUUCCAUGUGAAUAAAGGAGGAUGGAUGGAGCGGAACAUGAUGAAAUGCCAUUCUAUCCUAUUCCAUGAGUUGCCUUCAUUUUCACAUCCUUCAAUUUUGGGAAGAAUAACAAUCUUUGUUCUAUUCAAUCAUAAAAUAUUCAAACACAGAAUGAAAUCUUUUGUUCCACUCUGCUUCCAUUCCGCUCAGCUAUGUUAGCUUAAAGUAUCCAAAACUCUAGCCCGUCCUAUUGAGGAAUUCAGACUGUGAUGGUAAGUAUGUAACCUCUUUCCUAGUUAUGUUGAAGGGAGAAGCCAGACACUCGGAAUUUUUGGAAGAAAUGAAUUGUUUAUUGUCGUUUCUGAUCGUGCGUGUUUAAUUCAGUUUCUUUUACUUGUAAUUAUGAAUGUAAACUCUGUUUUGAGAACCUUCUCCAGAGUAGUGUUGAUAUAAAUUUCAGAAACCGAACCCACAAAUCCCUUGUUUUUGGCAGUUUUAAUCAUUUGCCUUUCAAAUAAGAUGUUGGUAAGACAAUUUGAGAGGCUACUCAAAGUUUAAUUCGAAUAAUAAUAGAGUGCAGGGCGAACCUAAGAGGGAGAAAUCAAUUUCUAUUAGGUUUUACUUUCAAAGAAUUGAAACCGCUUGAUUCAUUCAUAUGAUGCUGCUACACUUGAGAUAAGGCGUUUUUUUAUUACAUUCUUAUUGAACUAUGUUGUAAAUGUUUCAUAUUUAUACGAUUAUUCUUCCCUAUAUAAAAAAAUUAGUCGAAAGAUUAUUAUGUUCUUUUGAUUUAGAGAUUAAAGGGGAUUUUUUAUUUCAUUCUAUGAGUGGAAAAAGCACCGUAUAGAAAUUUUAAAAUAUCCUUAGCGUGUUGAAGAUACAUCUCUGGGACAACUGGUUAGUUGAGAUUUUCGAUGAUCAAAAUUGGAUAAAUCUUGUUAGUAAAAGAGUGUUGUUUGUUUCACUUCGACAAGAAGGGAGUUGCUGUCGAAGUAAGAGAUCCUGGCGAAGAGGUUUUUUUGAUGACGGGAAAUGCUGAUUUUAAGAUUUAGAAGUACUUAUGGGUUUUAGAUGCAAUUUUUGACAGAAGCAAUACUAACGUUGCUUCGGCCGAAAGAUUUUGAAUUCUUGAAUAAGAAUUAUCGAGUGUUUUCUUGUCCUUAAUCCAUUUGUCUGAGGAAGACGCGUGUACAGUUACGAUGAAGUGAAGGCGAUGCAUGCAAACGUUGUCGUUUUUUUGGAGGAAAACGUUGAUUAGCGGUUAUCUUCGACUUAGUAUAAAUAGGGGUCUUAGGGUAUAGGAUUUCCGAGUGUUAACAUUGUAGAUUACUCAUAAAUUUCCUUAAGAUCUAUAGUGUAUCUAUGAGAAGCCGAGAUUAUUGGGAAUUGUACUCGUGAAUCACCGUCUUUCAUUUUAAUUUAAAUUGUUUCGCAAUUUUAACAGUUAUUUCCACUUCCCUGCAAUUUACUUUAAAGUUCUUUUGUUCCAAUUCUUUACACCUAUGUCGUUCUACUUUUAAACUUUAAAACAACAUUCUCAAUUUAUAGCAUUUGUCGAAGUGUUCAUAAACUUUGAAAAGAAUACUCCCUCCGUUCCUUUUUAAGUGUCAACAUUUUGACUUUUUACCACAUACCAAGAAAGCUAAUUAUUAUGUUCCUUUUUAACAAUAAUCUCAGUUUUACCUACUAUACCUUAAUUUUUCUACAUUCAUUUUUCUUUUUCUCUCUCUGUAUAAUUACAUAGGGGUAACUUUUGACAAAAGUGCAUUGUAAUAACUUUACCUUGAAUUCUACAGUGACAACUUAAAAGGAACAACACAAAUUUAUCAAGAAAGUGACACUUAAAAGGAACGGAGGGAGUAUUAAGAAAAAUACAUGUCCUAGGACUUCACUAGGUUGGAUCCUGUCAAGAAACAAUUUUUUUGGAGAUCAGAGAUUGUUUCACCAAUUUUCACGGUAAACAAAUUGGCACGUCCAGUGAGGCCGUGUUAUUGUUAAACAUUUUUUCUUUUCAAUUUUUUGUUUAUUUGUUCUUCAUUUUAAUUCUCUUAACUUCGAGACUCGUAUAAAUGGCAAAAUGUACACAACAACAAGGAAAGACUUAGGAAAGAGGAUACGUAAGGAGGACGGUGAAUAAAAACCCAUCAAAUAGUCAAAUACGCUCAAAGAAUGGAGGAACCACCCCCCGUCUCAUCGACAAGGGACACUACGGUCCAAGAUCUGUAACUGAACCUGUACGUCCACGGCAAAUACGACACCUGGGAGUCGAUUGUCAAAGUGGAUCUAUUUUUGUCUUAUGUGGAACACUGGGUUCCACCAGUGGACUCCCUUUCUAGUUGGAAAUAACGUAUUAAGGCCUUAUAUUGCCUGGAUUCUCGACGUCGUAAAUUUGGUCCGGAAUAACCUUAUGGCAUGGCAACUUCGAUCGAUCGGCAGUUUGCCAAAUACAUCAUUAACGUUUACAUAACUAGUGGUGAACGCGCACUUCGCCACUACAAGGAUCUGGUUUAGUCUUUAAUAACAUGGUUGAAGUGAUGUCAAUCAUUAGGAUGGGAAUUUCCCUCCAACACGUUAAUAUCACCAAGCCAUUUAUGCGGCAUAUAAGGCAAACAAAUGGACAAAAAGUAACCAUGGAUGGUCCAAAUGUCGGCGAACUAACAUGAAUACAAUAUUACCCUUUUUGAUCCAAAACACUACCCAAACAAACUAUAGAUGGCAACACAGUGUCACGUCAUUGUCGGACUUCUAUUGGUGUUCCACAACCUUCUGACACCCCGAGGGAGUGGUGAUAGAAAUUACGGGGAUAACCUCUCGAGGAAGAUCCCCCCAUUAACCAAGUCCAACAAACCAACAAGAAACGACCCACGGAGAACGUGGUAAAUCAGGGAGUAGGAGUCGACCCCCCUAGAGUCGAACCCCCAAAGGGCAUAAGCCACCAACCCAAGGGAAAAAGACGAUGGUGAAUAUGACCAAGCGAUGUUAACGAAGUCCUACAUCAGUUCGACGUGAUGAUAUGGCAGGUAGACAAUAAUCUAGUAGCCAUGGUCGAAGAAUCAUGCGCAGAAUGAGUUGAAGGUUGGCUCUCAUAGGCCACAUACACAUCACGCUUUGUCAAUUAUACCUAUGCGUCAAAGUUACACCUCCUAGUGGAAAGUCCAAAGUUUACUAAGUUUUUCUAGGGUUCACCUAACGAGUCAUAUCGAAUACGUGGCUAGGUUCCUCAAUUAGAGCGAGGGGAAAUUGCUUAAUAACGAGAACCUAAGGAUGAAAUAUUUCCCAGUUCCUUGACGAGAAUGCCUUUAUGUGGCUCACCAUGUGCCAGCAAAUUGCAACCCAUGAUUGGACUCGACUGGAAAGGUUGUUCCAUGAACAAUCUGACAUGGGACAAUGAAGAUUAUUUGAAGGAAUUUGGCCAGGUGUUAAACGAAGAUUCUCUAAGCCAGAGUGAUUUAUUUGAAUAGAUUCUGUUGGGCUUAAGGCAGUGGGUUUUCACAAGUGCCUGAGCAUGUGAUUGGUCGAAAGGUCGCUGGUGGCCUUGAUUAUUCUAUUUAGGAAAGAACUAAGAUACCCCAAUGUUAAGGCGACAUGGCUCAGUUGGCUUACGGGUUAGAACAGUACGAGGCGGCCAAAGGCUGAAAAAACUAGGGCAAAUAAGAAUGACAGGAAGGAACGGGUAGCAUAUGGUCAAAUGUGGAUGAAGAUGAUCCAAAACGAUAAUUGAUCCCUAAAUUUUGACGAAAUGCAAAGUGGACCUCGCUGAAUCUGGAAAGCAAGACCCCUUACUCUUUGCAGAGUCCCUAGCGCAUUCGAAUGGGAAAAACCAGGUCCAACUAAAAAGAGGCAAUGCUUUCCCUAGAAGACAUAGUCUGUCUGCAGUGUCGACGAAGAUAUUUUGAGUUUAAUUAGUUAGAUGGUCAAAUGAUAGUGUCUACCGUGGUGCAUAAAGUUGGAGAAUUUCCAUUCCAACGGCCGCAACGAAUUUAAAAUUUUCUCCAUUUUAGUGAUCCUUACGAAUGGGGCAGAUCAGUGAUAGAAUCGUUACUCUUAUGGUGGCGAUUCAACCUUUGGUGCAAUCUCUGAUAUGAUCAAAACCGUUGAUACAGAUCACAGGCGAUCACGACACGUUUGAACCGAUGACAACGUCUUCUUACUCCAGUCCACCCGAACGCAUUCUACUCAAUCGCAGUGUAGGCUGUUGUGAAUGAAGGCUUUGAGUCAGAGAAAGAGAGAUACGAAAUUCCAAACUCUUCAAGUUGUGUUGCUAUUCCGCAUACAAAGCUUCUGCACAAGAGCUCUAUUUAUAGAACCACUUGUGUGGGCUUCAAGCACAAGCCCACUUAAGUGCAUAUUUGGCCUAUAUUCUAAUAUGCCAAAAUCACUUUAAGUAUUGGUCCUUACCAUAUUUCGUAUUUGCUUAAGUACACCGUACCUUCGAUGUUCCUUAAAAUUUUCUAUCUCUCAUCAAUACCGUCUUUGUGUGUGACCUCUAUACGGUUUUCGCGGCAGUUGGCAAAUUAUAUUAAAUCCGCAUUUACAUCAAUAACAGGAGCCGGUAUCUGCACACAUGCACUGCUUACCCAGCACGGAACAUGUCAUGUGUCUGACCAAACCUCCUGUGAAAUAUUAUGUGUGAUUAAUUACCCCUUUGCCCUUAUGUCUAUAUUGAACACAAGGUAUAGACCAUGGUCACCCUUGUCCAGUUCAUAUUGGGCCCAUCGACAUUUAUCCUGUUAAGCAGGAGGCAAUCAGAUCUCAGGACAACAUCAUGUCCCCACGCAUGCUUCGUGGAGACCCAUUAACUGGUCUUUAUGGUCAUCCAGUUACCGGAUAACGUUGGAUCAGUACAUUAAAGCACUCAAUCUACAUUAGGGAGCCAUAGUGGUUUCAGGUCGAAGAGUGGUAUACAUAUUAUCACCAGUGAGAAUAACUUCUGACACUUAUGCAUAACUUUCUAUAUGUAUUCUCAUAGCGGGGUCAAUCCGGUAUAAAAUAUUACUCCUACUUUCAUACCUAUGUUUAAGCUUUGAUAAGCUCUUUAUCUGAUCUGAGUGUGAUUCUCAGUCUAACAACAUAAUAGCUCUUAAUGCUGGUAAUGUUAUUCCCACUUCCAUUUAAAGCUCGACUACGGAUACUUUAAGAAUAGUCUCACUUAUGUUUAAUGUGUUCUCAUGUUCAGUCACUAAAUACAUUACGGGACUACAAACGGACUAUCUAUUCUAGGGACUUUAUUAAUCAACCAUAAUAAAGAAAAUGCCUUUUAUUAUUAAUAAAUAAUUCGAUACAAGUACCAAAAGUAUUGGCCUCUAGGGCUUACACCAACAAAAAUACCUCCUCUAGAACAAAGAAAAAAGAGGGGUUUUUGUAAGUAUCAUAUUUUUUUGGGCCAUAAAACUUCGCAAUGUUUUCUCUUCAGGGAACUUGUGUAGAAGCCUAUCAGAGACGAAAGGCUCACGUUAAGAGAUAGGUCGAAGUCUGAAAUGAGGAUCGACUCAGAUCCUCUCCAGGUGACAGAGGCCCACUUUGCUAAACCAACUUUUGUGAAUAUGGUGGAAGUGUCUGCGAACUGCGCCAAGAAAGUUGAAUUGGUCGAAGCUACUGAAGGCUUCAACCAAGGAAUUACUGAAGGCUUCAACAAGGGAACCACUGAGGGUUCCAUCCAAGGAGUCACUGAAGGCUUCAAUAAGGGAACCACUGAGGGUUCCAUUCAAGGAGUCACUAAAGGCUUCAACAAGGGAGUCACUAAGGGUUCCAUUCAAGGAGUCACUGAAGGCUUCAACAAGGGAGUCACUGAGGAUUCCAUUCAUAUGAUAACAACAAAUGAAACUACUAAAGGUUUCAUAUAGGUUAAUAACAUAACUAAGGACUGAAGGCCUUAGAAUCAAGUUGCAGGAUUUAAACAUCACUAAGGAUGCCAACCUAGCAGUUAACAUGGUCGAAGUGACCUAAGAGACUGCUAUGGAAGUCGACGAACAAAGCCUAAGGCAAGAUGAGUAUGUCAAAGUAGCUUAUCCCAAGCAAGACGAAAGCUUGGUCGAAUUCCUCCACAGGUGUCAGAGGAAGAAAUCAGAGAUAAUGAUGUGCCCAAGGUGCAGAUCCGUCUUCGAUAGAAAUGCGACAAAGAACUUCAAGGGAGUUUGACUGGAAAAGAACAGGAGAAACUUGAGAGACACCAACAACUGAUUUGCCUUCGACAGGAGGGGGGGUACCCAGGAAGCAAGAGGAAGGAAGACCAGGACCCCGUGGCUACACACCAACACCUUCAAGCCUACGACUGAUGCCCCUAAGGGUAAGUGGGUGAAGCUUGUCGAAAGAGGCGAACAAGGCCAUAAGAAGUGGACAAACUUUGAAGUACAGAGAGGUUCCUCGCUGGCAUACCACAAGGAAUCCCAAACCUCAAAACAACUAGCGUAUCGCUCCGAAAACUACAAAGGGAAGAACCUUAUGUCAAGGUCCCAGUGGAGGAGAGGGCAGAGGAGACGAAAGGCUGAAAGAGAGGCUGGAGAAAUGGCGAAGGCAGAAUCCGGUAGUAACGUACCCCUAAAAUAGGAGAGGAACAAAGAAAAUAAGCAUGUCGAAAGGAAGCUCUUUUCCUCUCAAAAGGAGAAAUCUGCAAAGAAGUCUGACUAAGCAGCAUCAGAAGACGAUAUGCUGACGAAUGAUUUUGACACAGAUUCAGAGCCAUCCUUGGAUAUCACGUGCAACAUGGUGUCUGUGUUGCCCAGGGAAUAUGACCAAGUUAUGGAAGUAGAGGAAACCUGAGGAUAUAACGAAUGCGGAAAUGGCCAGGCAUAUGCAAGUUUGUUACUACGUGAUGAAUGAUGGGUGCGUAGAAGAGCAAAAUGCCUUUUUGAAAGGCUCGAUUGAGGGAUGAAGAGCCAUUUGAAACCUCUGUUUAUUAGAGGCAAAGUGGAAAAUGUCAGAGUGAGUACAAACCUAAUGGAUGGUGGGGCAGUUGUGAAUUUAAUGCCAAACUACAUGUUGAAAAGAAUAGGGAAGGAUGAUACCGACACUAAACCCCAUAACAUGGUUCUUUCGAUCUAUGUGGGGAAUGUGGGUACAAAAAUGGGGAUAAUUCAAGUAGACCUAAUAGUCGACACCAUCACAAGUCCGGCUAUGUUUAUGGUCAUAACGUCAAAAGCCAACUAUAACCUGCUUUUGGGUCGAUAAUGGAUCCAUGGUAUUGAAGGAGAAGGGCGAUCCAAAAUGCAGCGGAAUUUAAAAUUUCUCCUUUAAUGAUCCUUACGAAUGGGCAUGAUCAGUGAUCGAAUCGUUACCUCUUGUGGCGAUUGUAACCUUUGAUGCAGAUCUACGGAGCGAUCACGAACGUUGAACGAUGACAACGCCUCUACUCAGUCCACACAAACGAAUUCCUUCAAUCUCAGUGCUAGCUGCUACGAAUGAAGGCUUUGAGUGAGUGAGAGAGAGAAAUGAAAUUGCAACUGCUAAUGCUUCUACACAAGGGUUCUAUUUAUAGAACCACUUGUGGGGGCUGCAAGCUAAGAAACUUAAGUGUAUAUGACCCAUAUCUUAUAAUAUGCCAAAAUCACUUAAGCACGUGGUACCUUACCAUAUUUCGUAUUCUACUUAAGUACACCGUACCUUACGGUGUUCUACAAUUCACUUAAGGACACGAUACAUUACGGUAUUCCUUAGUUACUCUAUCUCUCAUCAAUCCGUCCUUUGUGUGUGACCCUGUAGGUUUUCGUGGCAUUGUCAAUUAUAUUAAAUCACGUAUUUAACAUAAUAAACAGUGAGCGGUAUCUAGCAACACACCACUGCUACCCAAGACACGAAAAUGUCAUGUGAUCUGACAGAUCCUUCUGUGAUAAUAAUUAUGUGUAUAAUUACCCUUUUGCCCUUAUGUCUAUAUUGAACACAAGACAUAGACCGUGUCAUCCUUGUCCAGUUCAAUAUUGAGCCCAUAGACAUUUAUCCUGUUACGCGGGAUGGGCAAAUUCCAUCUAGGUCACUCAUGUCCCUUAGCAUGCUUCGCUGAGUACCCAUCAACUGUCUUUAUGGUCAUCCAGUUACGGACAACGUUUGACCAACAAUAAGACACUCGACUCUACAUCUAGGGUCCAUAGUGGUUUCAGGUCGAAGGGUGGUAUACACCAUUAUCACCAUGAGAAUAACUUAUGACACUUUGCAUAACAUUCUAUAUAGUAUUCUCAUAGCAGGUAAUUCUAGUAUAUAAUAUUACUCUUAAUAUUCAUACCCAUGUUUAAGACUUGAUAACUCCUUAUCCAUGAUCAUGAGAUGUGAUCAUCAGUCUAUAAACAUAAUAGUCUUCAUGCUUUAAUGUUAUCCACUUCACAAUAAGCUCGACUACGGAUCAUUUAAAAAUAGUGUCCUUAUGUUUAAUGUGAUCUCAUGAUUAAGUCAUACUUGAUACAUUAAACGGACUAGCUAUUCUAGGGACUUUAUUAAACAAACAUAAUAAAGAAAAAGCCUUUUAUUAUUAAUAAAUAAUUCAAUACAAGUACCAAAAGUAUUGGCCUCUAGGGCUUACACCAACAGGUAUCGGCGCAGUGCCUUCUUCACUACAUCAACGAGUUUCCAUCCGACGAAUGAUGGAACAGUGGAGAAUAUAGAGGCGGGCCAGAGUUACUACAUGGAGAAAGUCAACCAGGUGGAUAGAAGGCACUUCAACAAACACCUGACACACAUUCCCCCUUGCAAUUCUGCAGGGUUCAACUUUACGCAAGCUGACAAUACGUUAUGUUCCUUGUACCUACUGAAGGAGAAUAGCGAUCCAAAAUGCAACGAAAUUUAAUUUUUUUCUCCUUUAGUGAUCCUUACGAAUGAGCAUGACCAGUGAUAGAAUCGUUACCUCUUGUGUCGAUUGAAACCUUUGAUGCAUGUCUAAGAAGUGAUCACGAAUGUUGAAUGGUGACAACGCCUCUACUCAGUCCACACGAACGGAUUCCUUCAAUCUCAGUGCUAGCUUCUACGAAUGAAGGCUUUGAGUGAGAGAGAGAAACAAAAUUUCAUCUAUCUCAAUGCUUCUGCACAAGGGUUCUAUUUAUAGAACCACUUGUGUGGGUUGUAAGCUAAAAAUCCCACUUAAGUGUAUGUGCCCCAUAUCUUAUGAUAUACCAAAAUCACUUAAGCGCGUGGUACCUUACCAUAUUUCGUAUUCUACAUAAGAGCACCGUACCUUACGAUGUUCUAUAAUUCACUUAAGUGCAUCGUACCUUACGGUGUUCCUUAUUUACUCUAUCUCUCAUCAAUUCAUCCUUUUGUGUGUGAUCCUGUAGGUUUUCACGACAUUGGUAAUUAUAUUAAAUCACGUAUUUAACAUAAUAAACAAUGAGCGGUAUCUAGCAAUACAUCACUACUACCCAAGACACGAAAAUGUCAUUUGAUAUGACAAAUCCUUUUGUGAUAAUACUUAUGUGUACAAUUACCCUUUUGCCAUUAUGUGUAUAUUGAACACAAGGCAUAUACUGUGUCAUCCUUGUUCAGAUCAAUAUUUGGCCCGUAGACAUUUAUCAUGUUACGCAGGAUGGGCACAUUCCAUCUAGGUCACUCAUGUCCCUCAACAUGCUUCGUGGAGUACCCAUCAACUGUCUUUAUGGUCAUCCAGCUACGGAUAAUGUUUCAUCAAUAAUAAGACACUCGACUCUACAUCUAGGGUCCAUAGUGGUUUCAGGUCGAAGGGUGGCAUACACCAUUAUCACCAUGAGAAUAACUUAUGACACUUUGCAUAACAUUCUAUAUAGUAUUCUCAUAGCGGGUCAAUCCAGUAUAAAUAUAGCAUACACCAUUAUCACCAUGAGAAUAACUUAUGACACUUUGCAUAACAUUCUAUAUAGUAUUCUCAUAGCGGGUCAAUCCAGUAUAAAUAUUACUCUUAAUAUUCAUACAUAUGUUUAAGACUUGAAAACUCCUUAUCCAUGAUCCAUGAGAUGUGAUCAUCAAUCUAUAUACAUAAUAGUUUAAAAUAAAGCAUGAAUCGUCAUUAAUGCAGAUCCAACUCGGAUUUUGUUGACAACGGUACUGCUAUGGCCAAUUAUGAGUUCAAAAAUCAAAUCUUCCAAGCUAAGGAAGAUUGCGACGAAGGAAUAGUUGGAGAUUGUCAACCUCGGGUUAAAGACUGGAAAAAGGAGAUCAAAAUAGGCGUCUCCCUAGAAUCUUAUGUUAAGAAGGGGUUGACAGAGUUAUUGCAUGAAUAUGUCAACGUGGUUGUUUGGUCAUACUAAGAUAUACCAGGAUUGGACACAUACAUUAUGAUGCACCAUCUGUUGCUCAAACAGUACUGCCCUCCGGUAAAGCAGAAUCUGAGAAGAACUCGACCUGAUAUGGCUAUCAAAAUCAAGGAAGAGGUUCAUAAGAAGCUAGAUGCAAGCUUUCUAGCAAUAUCAAAUUACCCCUAGUGGGUUGCCAAGAUCGUACCUGUGCCUAAGAAAGAUGACAAGGAGCGCAUAUGCGUGGAUUACAGAGACUUAAACAUAGCUAGCCCAAAAGAUUAUUUUCCAUUACCUCACAUCGAUGUGUUAGUGGACAAUACUGCCUAAUUCUCUGUAUUCUCCAUAAUGGAUGGUUUUUCGGGAUAUAACCAGAUCAAAAUGGAUUCAGAAGACAUGGAGAAGACAACAUUUAUCACCCCACGGGGGACAUUCUACUAUAAGUUCAUGCCCUUCGGUUUGAAGGACGUUGGGGAAACAUAUCAAAAAGCUAUGGUCACUCUCUUUCAUGAUAUGAUUCAUAAAGAGAUUAAGGUGUACGUUGACAAUAUGAUUGCUAAGUCCCAAACUGAAGAAGAACACCUCAUUCAUUUACUAAAACAGUUUGUAAGAUUGAGGAAAUUCAUAUUAAGACUUAAUCCCAACAAGUGGACGUUUGGGGUAAGAUCUGGAAAGUUGUUAGGUUUUAUUGUGAGCCAACGUGACAUCGAGGUUGAUCUCGACAAAGUCAAAGCCAUACAAGUUAUGCCUGCACCGAGAAUGAAAAAUGAGGUUCAUGGUUUUUUAGGACGAUUGAACUACAUAACCAGGUUCAUAUCUCACCUAACUGCCACAUGCGAACCUAUCUUUAAACUCGUGCGAAAUGAUCAAGCUAUUGAGUGGAACGAGAACUGUCAAAGAGUCUUUGAGAGGAUAAAACGGUAUCUUUAAGAACCACUCAUUUUAAUGCCUCUAGUGUCAGGAAGACCCCUUAUCAUGUACUUGACAGUCCUGGAAGAUUCUAUGGAUUGUGUACUUGGUCAACAUGAAGAAUCAGGUAGGAAGGAGCACACCAUCUACUACCUUAGCAAGAAGUUCACUAACUGCGAAUCAAGAUACUCUUUACUAGAGAAAAACUUAUUGUGCCCUUGUCUGAGCUACCAAACGACAGAGGCAGUACAUGUUAACUCACACUACGUUGUUGAUCUUCUUCGAUCAAGUACAUUUUCAAGAAACCUGCUCUGACCGGAAGGGUUUUCCGUUGGCAAAUGGUUUUGACCGAAUACGACAUUCAAUACGUCACACAAAAAGCCAUCAAAAACAGUGUGUUGUAUGACUAUUUGGCACAUCAACUAGUGGAAGAUUACCAACCCAUGAAAUUUAAUUUUCCUGAUGAAGACAUCUUAUUCAUUAGAGAGUCUGAUCUCCUUUACAAUGGCGCAGAGUGGACCUGUAUGGUUAGUUCUCCAACGAUCAAGUCAAUUCAAAAUUCAAGAUGAAUUUAAUGAAAAUAAAGACAAAAAAUUAUACAUUUAUCUUAAUGUGUUAACUGUUUUUAUAUUUAAAUCAAAUAAAAUAAAAUUUAGAUGGAUUAGUCCUUUAACCUAUCCAGAACAAUAUCUUUAAUUCCCACUUAAAUAUAAUAUCUUCUAUAGACCAACAUAUUUAAAAAAAGUCGUCUAAAACAAAAAGUAAACUUCCUUAUUUCCCGACCUCUCAUGUCUAACCCUUUCCUACCAUGAUAUGUUAAGAAUACGACAAUAUAGGUUAGUUUAUAUAUCACAAGAUACAUUGACUCAAUUUAUUUAUACAAUUGGUUAAUUGUAAUUAGGGAUAAAUUAAUAAAAUUAUACUUUUGCACAAGACUAAGAAAAUUAAAUACAUGUUCGAUGUUGAGAGUAUAUUAGCCAGCACUCCAAGCAAGUUACAUCAUAUUUUAAGUUUGUUGAAAAUUUCUGAGUAGCAUUUGUCUAAGGAAGACGUGCACCAAACCAAGUAUAUAUCAAUUUCUGUUGAAUGAAUAACAAUAGUUUCGUAAUGUGGUUGUUACGAGUAACCCUUCUUCGUUGACUUUCCUUCUUACAAUCUUUUAGUAUAUUAAUUCGUCUUCCUUCAACAUACGGACUCAAUGAAUUCACGAAUUGAGACAACAUGGAUUCAAACUCAAAUAUUUCAGGUAACACUGCUUCUACUCCACUAUCAAAAUCUAUUCAUUUACACGUUAUUUUUGUAUACUUAUUUUUAUUUUUGUUUUUGCAUUUUCAAUUUGUAUCAUAGAUACUGUCACUCUCGUUAGAAAUUUCGGAGUUAGAAAUUUCUGAAAGAUUAAAGGGAUCCAGGUUUGUAUUUAAUAAAUUACAACAACUCUGGUGUACUUCCUUUCUCCAGCAACAUUUUUCUGCCCUGUCGAAUUGUUUGCCAUUUUCCAAUUUGAGGCAAGGAGCUGAACCUUCCGAUUCGUCCGUGGAUAAUACUCACAAUCGAAGCGGUAGAUAUGACGUGUUUAUCAGUUUUAGAGGUCCUGAUACACGCAACAAUUUUGUUGAUCAUCUUUAUGAUCAUCUAACUAGAAAGGGUAUUUCCGUCUUCAAGGAUGAUAAAAGGCUUGAGAAAGGAGAAUCCCUUUCCCCACAACUUGUACAAGCAAUUAAAAAUUCACGGAUUUCUAUUGUUGUAUUCUCUGAAAGAUAUGCCGAAUCCAAGUGGUGUUUGGAAGAGAUGGCUACUAUUGCAGAAUGCUCUAAAGAAUUCAAUCAAAAAGUAUUUCCGGUAUUUUAUGACUUGGAUCCAUCUCAUGUACGAAAUCAGAAUGGGGUUUACCGAAAAGCCUUUGUUUUACACAAGAUAUUCAAACGUGAUCGGAAUAAGGUUGUGAGGUGGACGAAUGCUAUGAACGUCUUAGCUAACUUUGUCGGUUGGGAUGUCAGGAACAAGUAAGUAAUUUUCCCUUUCUUGUUACUUGUUUUACAUUUUCUACUGAGUUCAAGAGGUUCAACAAAUUAUUUUACAAAUGAAAACCCUUUUUUUUCAGUUAUAUUCUUAUGCUUGAUACUUGAUGACGAGAGUCUCUUCUAGACUCAAAUUCAAUCUUAAAAAUUGCAGCAAUGUUAUUUUUUAUUGAAGGAGGGUUUUGCCGCCGCCAAUUGUGGCAUUUUGCAGCUCGAAAGAAUAGUUUCUACGGCUAUAAUAUGUGAUAUUUCAACUCUAUUUAAUACCGUAUUGUUUUUCUGUGCUCACAAAGUGUGAAAAACUUAUUAUUCAUUUUGCAACAACAAAGUAAUGUGAAUACAAUGUUAUGAAUGCUCUAUUCACUUUAUUAUAAAAAUAAGGGUUACUCCCUCUAUUUAUAGAUUUAGGUUAACUUGGACUUCAAGCUAAAGACCAAAACUAUAAAAGCCCGAAAUUAUAAAAGUCCAAAAUAGCUAACACUACUUAACACAUUAGGUGGUUGGACACUUCCUUGCUCUGUCGCGCAACCUGUUUCGACACAAGGAAUUACAGUUCAACACACCACCUAAUUCAUUGUGUCUAAGUUAUCUACAUUCAUCAUAACUCUUAGUCUUUCGAACACUUCGACCUGCAAUCCCUUCGUCAUGAUGUCUGCAAUCUGAUUCUCAGUUUUGCAAUGUUCCACAUUCAUCUUCUCAUCCUCUACCUGCUCUCGAAGAUAAUGGAACCUCAUCUCGAUGUGCUUGCUUCGAUCAUGUGCUAUCGGAUUCUUCGCCAAAUUGAUAGUUGACAUGUUGUCGAUCUUUAUGGUAAUUGCUCCAUGAUUCUUCUUUGUUAUCUCUUCGAUCAGAUUCACCAUCCAUGUUGCUUGACAUGCACAAAGAGAAACAGCUAUGUAUUCUGCUUCGUACGACGAUAAUGCCAAUACUGGCUACUUUCUCGAACUCCACGCAAUUGGUGCACCACCUAGCAUAAACACAUAACCAACUCUGGACUUUUGAUCCUCAUCAUCACUACACCAACUUGAGUCGGUGUAUCCCACUAAUUUGUAUUUUUUUCCUUCAUCAGCUGGAGGAAACAAAAUGCCAUAGUUGAGAGUUCCUCUCAGAUACCUUAGUAUCCUCUUCGCCGCUGCUAGAUGUGAUACCUUUGGCUUCUGCAUGAACCUACUCAUCAUACCUACACUGUAUGCUAAGUCAGACCUUGUGUAACAAAGGUAUCGAAGUGACCCAAUAAGUCUUCUAUAUUGGGUUAGGUUGACAUCAUCUUCAUCUGAAUCUUUCGACAAUUGUAAUCUUGGCUCAGUUGGAGUCGAAGUUGGGUUGCAAUCUUGCAUCUCAAAUCUCUUGAGAAUUUCACCUGCAUACCUUCUUUGAUGCAUCAUCAAACCUCUACCACUCUUGUAUAAUUCGAUGCCAAGGAAAUAUGAAAUGUUAUCCAAAUCUGAUAUUUCGAAUUCCUUGUUGAGAUCACCUUUGAAGUCUUCGAUCUCCUUCUUGCAACUACCUGUUAUCAACAGGACAUCGACAUAGAGGCAUAGUAUAAGCAAUUCAUUCUUACUUCUUCUUACAUAUACUCCAUGUUCAGAUUUGCACUUCACAAAUUCCUUCUCCCUUAGAAAUCUAUCUAUCUUCUUUUUCUAAGCUCUUGGAGUUUGUUUAAGUCCCUACAGGGCUUUAUGCAGCCUGUGCACUUUUCUUUCUUCGCCUUGUUUCACAAACCCAGCUGGUUGUGCAACAUAAACUUCUUCUUCUAAGGGACAAUUCAGGAAUGCACAUUUCACAUCCAUCUGACACAUCUUCCAGUUGUUCAUGUUUGCUAGACCCACAACCAACCUGAUUGUUUUGAUUCUAGCAACAGGUGCAAAAAUUUCAUCGAAGUCGAUUCCUUCUUUUUAAAGAAAUUCUUUCGCCACAAGUCUCGCCUUGUGUCGAGUCACUUCUCCUUUGGGAUUCAACUUCACCUUGUAUACCCACUUCACAUCGAUUUCCUUCUUAUUUUGGGGCAAUUCGACAAGUGACCAAGUGUUGUUGCUUUCAUCCACUUCGAAUCUUUCAAUGCCUCAGCUGCAUUGGCAGGUUCGACAUCUACGUAGAAAGCAUAAUGUACCAGCUCACCUUCUUCAUCGACCACAUCAUCUGAUGUAAUCACACAUUCUUGCAACCUUGCAAGCAUGUGUCUUUUUGUUCUUUGAGAUCUGCUUGUACUUGCUUCACCUCUGACUUCUUCCUGUCGAACUUCUCUUUCGACUUCACUAGAUGGUUCAUCAUAAAAGAUUCUCACUGAAUCUUUCUUGACAUUCUCAGUCCAAUCCCACUCCUUAAGCUCAUCUAUGAUCACGUCCCUGUUGAUCACUACUUGCUUAUUCACUGGGUCGAACAACUUAUAUCCUCCAGUCGAAUGAUAUCAUAUCAGGAUCAUCUGAUUGGACUUGUCAUCAAGUUUUCUUCUCAACUGAUAUGGCACAUGUUUAUGUGUUAUAGAUCCAAACACCCUCAGAUGACUCAAGAUUGGCUUGACACCAGACCAACAUUCUUCUGACGUGAUUCCUUCUAGCUUCUUCGUCGGACAUAUGUUCAGGAUAUAUGUCGCAGUCAACACGACUUCUCCCCACAAUUCUUUGGGUUGAUGCUUGCCUUUCAACAUACUUCUAACCAUAUUCAUGAUGGUUCUAUUCUUCCUUUCUGCGACUCCAUUCUGCUGUGGAGUGUAGGAUGACACCACCUCAUGCACAAUCCCAUCUUUCACACAUAAUGAAUCGAAAUAUUUUGACAUAUAUUCUCCACCACCACCAGUUCUCAAAAUCUUGAUCUUUCAACCGCUCUGUCUUUCGACCAUAGAUUUAAACUUGGCAAAUACCUCGAUCACUUCACUUUUCUUCUGGAUCAGGUAAGACCACAGUAAUCGACUAAAAUCGUCUAUGAAUGUAACAAAGUAUUUGUUACCUCCAAUCGAAUCCAGCUGGAGAGGGCCACAUACAUCAGAGUAUAUGACUUCAGAAAUUGCCUUCGACCUGCUUUCUGCAUCCUUACUAAAGUUGUUCUUAUGUUGUUUCACUUGCACGCAUUCUUCACACACUUCGUUUGGAAUGUCGAUUUCUGGUAAUCCUGCAACCAUAUUUAUUCUCUUCAAAUAUUUGAUGUCUUUGAAAUUGAGAUGGCCAAGUCUAUAAUGUCAUAUCCAUUCAUCUCUGAUGGCUGCUAUUGCAAGGCACUUAUGCUCCAUCACGUUAAGCUCAAUCUUGAAGGUUCUAUUCUGAGACAUUGGAGCCUUCAAGAUCAACCUUCCAUUUGAGUUGAGAACUCUCAUCAUCUUGUCUUCGAUAGACACCUUGUAGUUCUUUUCGACUAACUGCCCUAUGCUGAGCAAAUUACUCUUCAUGUCUGAUAUGUACAACACAUUUGAAAUUACUAACCUCUUGCCAUCUUUCCUCAUAAUUAGAACAUCACCAACACCUUCAGCUGCUAGAGUAUUGUCAUUUGCAAAUUUCACCAUGUUCUUCAUUGAGGGCUUUAUGUUGACAAACCAAUCUUUUCUUCCAGACAUGUGUGAUGAGCAUCAUGAGUCCAAGUACCAUUGGUCCUUGAAUCUCUCUUCAUGUCUUGUUGUAACCAUUAGCAACGUCUCUUCUUCUUCAUGUUUGGCCAGCUUUGCAUAACUUUCUUGAUUCUUCUGUUUUUUUGGACAAUCACUAGAAUAGUGACCAUACUUCUGACAAUUGUAACACUGAAUGUGACUCUUGUCUGGAUUUUGACCACCACCUUUUCCUCUACCUGCAACACCACCUCUUUGGUUGCCUUGGUUCCAGGGUUUUCUCUGAUUCGACCAAUUUCCUUCUUGCUAAUUUUGAUCAGUCAAAUUGUUGUAACCUCCUCUGCCUUUGUUUCCAUUCCAGCUACAUUUUCAUUUUCUUUCUUUUGUUGAUUGAGCCUGCAAAGCCAUAUCACUCUUCGACUUUCCUGCAGCUCUUUCAGCCAUUCUUUGUUCAUGAGAUUCAAGCGUCCCUUGAAGCUCUUCCUUUGUCAAUUUUGACAAAUCUUUCGACUCUUCUAUGUCUACUACCACGUGAUCGAACUUUGGAGCUAACAACCUCAAGAUCUUUCCAACAACAGAUCUUGAUGUCAACACUUCUCCACAUACCUUGAUUUGAUUCACCAAUUUCGUAACCUUGGUGAAGAAAUCAGUUAUGCUUUCAUUAUCUUCCACCUGAAUCAAUUCACCAGUUGCUGGAAAAUGCCUGUUUGGAUGAUUCGUUGGCAUGGUAAUUUUCUUCCCACGAAUCGAUUAACCGGAACUCUUGAUACCAGAUGUUGGAAAUCCCCUAAAACCUAUGGAGAAUUUCAAUCAAUCUCGAUGAACAAGAUUGUUAUUACCCACACAAUAGCAAUGAAAAGAGAAGAACAAUGGAGAAAGAAAGAGUGUAAAGAACGAUGAAGGAGAAGAAAAAUGAAAAUUCUGCAGAGUUUCUCUCUGUCCACAAACUGUGGAAAACUUCUUAUUCACUUUGCAACUGCAAAAUAUUGUGAAUACAAUGUUAUGAAUGCUCUAUUCACUUUAUUACAAAAAUAAAGGUUACUCCCUCUAUUUAUAGAUUUAGGUUAACUUGGACCUCAAGUCAAAGCCCAAAACUAUAAAAGCCCAAAAUUAUAAAAGCCUAAAAUAGCUAACACUACUUAACACACUAGGUGGUUGGACACUUCCUUACUCUGUCGAGCAACCUAUUUCGACACAAGAAAUUACAAUUCAACAAUUUGUGGUAUUACAUAAUCUUCAUCUUUCAUCUCAAGUUAGGAAUAUUGUGUGUGUUAUUAAUUUUUUUUUUCAUAUACAUUGUCUUGCUUCUUCUCAAGGGAAACCACAUGCUUUUGAGACUUGUCGUAGGUCUCCAAUCUCCUAUUUAAUUUCUCUCUACAUUCUUUAAGUCAAAUUAUAUCAUCUAAAAAAAACAUGCAUUUCAGAGCUUCCUCGUGAAUGUGUUUUUUUAAGUGUGUCCAAAAUUCUACUCAAACUCCUGAUACUAUAAAUUAUAAUCUUCAUCAGAAUCAACAACACCACACACACUAACCACAAAACCACUCACCUAAACACCAACCUGUUCCUAAAUCCCUCCGCUUUACUUUCAAUUUAACCAUCAGCAAUUAAUUGCAGAUGAUUAGCCACUUCACUCCUUUUACUCUUAAAAGUUAAAUUAAUUAAAAUGCUCUUACAAAUGUCUCCUGAUUAAGAUUUGUUUCCACAUCGGAUAAUCUAUACUCUGAACAUGUGUUUAUAAGUGGGGGCAAUCCUUAUCCUACAAAUCGAUUUUGUAGGGAUGAAUUAGACUCAACUCACAUAUUCUAAAAUGGAAUCAAAACCUCACUUAAUAUCCAUUGGACCACACACCAUUUAGUGCCACGCCAGAUACAUAAAUCCUAGGCGUGAUAGGGGGUGUUAAGAGUCUCACAUCAAACAAUCUAUGACAUAAACAUGUGUUUAUAAGUAUCCUACAAACCGAUUCUUUAGGGAUGAUUUAGGCUCAAUCCACACAUUCUAAUAAGAUUAACUACAUAUAGCAUUGUCUCAUUAAAAUGAGCAAGAUAGUAAUUUAAGGUUUCAAAGUAUUAUCGACAAGCAUUAAAUAGAAUUGUUGUCGAUACUCGUCAAUGUCUGGUUUCGUAAAAGCAUUGAAUUAAUUUUCAAAUAAAUUCUACGUAUUAAUUGAUGGAGUAGCGAGGUACAUUGAUGUACAAGUGAAAUUUAACGUCCUUCAAAUCAACUAAGAGGGUUUUUCACUUUAAAGGUUCCACAAGUAUGAUGAUAGUCAUCUUAGUGUUAUCUGAUGCCAAAUAUUUGUUGAUUCCCAUGGAGUUCUCCGAGUUAUGUGAUUUAAAUUUUUUUAUAAUUGUAGUCUCUCAUAUCUCUUGGCACAAUGGUUGAGGGUCAUCUUAUUCUUCGUCUGAAUUAUUUGAGUUUGGCUUAACCUAUUCUUACAAAAUCAGUUUGUACGGUGAAGGAUAUCACUUUAUAUAAACUCUUUCAAUACUCUAUCUCUAACCAAUGUAGGAUUUGAGAUUUUCCCAAUACACCCUCCUCAUGCCCAACACUUUUUUUAGACUUGGUACGUGGACUUAAACGGUGGAUGACCCAAUGUCUGAUCGAUAAGCUUUGAUAUCAAUUUUUGGAUCAAACGCAUACCACUACGAUAAAAGCAAUUAUUGUUAGUGAGGGCGCAAUUGUAUUUUCUUGUAGUAUAGAGCUCUCAAGGACUGCACCUAGCCUACAUAACCCAUCAUAUGUGUCAUGGGUUGGAAUGUUAAGCCCAUCUAAUCGCAUCGGUGACACUGGAUAAAUCAAUCCAACAAUCUGCCCUCCAGUGACAGACGAGGGGAUUCAAAAUGAUGACUUGUGAUUUUAGAGUUUGGCCUAACUCGUCCUUACAAAACCAGCUUGUACGGUGAUGGGUGUCACUCUAUAUAAAUUCUUUCAAUGUUUUAUCUCCAACCAAUGUAAGACUUGUGAUUUUCUCAAUAUGAAUCAUCUUCAUACAACUCUGUUUUG
rnacentral:lncRNA from 1 species